rnacentral:lncRNA from 1 species
CGUUUCCUCUUUGUUAAUAAACUUCCUAACAUAUUAUUCUUCGAAUAAUUCUACUAUAAAGUAACUAAUAUGAAUUUAUUUUAUCAUAUCAUGAUUGUUGGGAAUUAUGAAAUUAGCUAUUCAUAAUUAUAAAUAGAUAUACCUGUUCGGGUAGCUUUGAUAUUUCUGAGUUUUGUUGUUCCAUAGCUUUUUCCAUUAGAGUAUGUUUAUCUAAUUAACUGAGUAAUAUUUUUUUUGUGGAAUGGAGAGAGAGAUUUGCUUCAACGCAUGAAGGCUUGCCUUUGCAAAGCCUUCUGCCUCUGAUUUAUAUAGAACGAAAAAAGCUUACAAUUUUUACAUGUGUUUUUAAUUUCUGAAACUAAAACCUAAAAAAGUCAAAGAAGGUGGCUUUAUGGCCUACCUAACUUUUCUAAAAGAACGUAAAUUUUCCUAUAAGCUAAUUAAUGUCCUACUAUUACAUUUCAAGACUUUUUUAUCAUAAUUCUAGACUUUUGUACAAUAAUUCUGCCUCUGUACAGUAUCUUGUCUCCGUUGAUUUUGUCGUAUCUGCUCCAUUAUUGCUCUGUAUCUGCUCCAUUAUUGCUCUUUAUCAUAUCUUUCCAGCUGGCAUUUUAUCUUCUUUAUUCUAGAUGUACCUCUGGAAUAAUAUUAUCUUCUCCAUUGCACCUCGAACAUUGGUGGUCUGGAUAUUUGUGUCCGAUUAUCUUACAGUAUCUCGUUAGCAGUCCGUCUGAAAUAAAUCCCUUUUUUAUUGCUCGCGCGGUAGAUUGUUUUUCUGGGUUAAGUAGCGUCAGUAUCCAUUGUCUUACGUCUUCCAUAUCUGCUUGUCUUAGUUCUUUCGAAUUUGAAUAUAUCAUUUGGUGAUCUCUUGAAUAGUAGCUCCAUAUUGGAUUUCCGUUAGCGUAGUUAUUUGCUAGUUCUUGUAUGAUCGUAGCUAGUCCAAUAAGUCUU